rnacentral:rRNA from 1 species
AAGACCUUGCACUUUUGGAGCGGCCGAUGUCUGAUUAGCUAGUUGGUGGGGUAAUGGCCUACCAAAGCUUCGAUCAGUAGCUGGUCUGAGAGGACGGCCAGCCACACUGGGACUGAGACACGGCCCAGACUCCUACGGGAGGCAGCAGUGGGGAAUUUUGGACAAUGGGCGCAAGCCUGAUCCAGCCAUGCCGCGUGAGUGAAGAAGGCCUUCGGGUUGUAAAGCUCUUUCAGCCGGGAAGAAAAGGUUGCGACUAAUAAUCGCAAUCCAUGACGGUACCGAAAGAAGAAGCACCGGCUAACUACGUGCCGGCAGCCGCGGUAAUACGUAGGGUGCGAGCGUUAAUCGGAAUUACUGGGCGUAAAGGGUGCGCAGGCGGUUUUGUAAGUCAGAUGUGAAAUCCCCGGGCUUAACCUGGGAACU